rnacentral:misc_RNA from 1 species
UGAUAACAAUUUUGAAGCACGGGUAUGCCUGUUUCUGCAAAAUCUAAGUUUUUUUUAGGAACCAUGAUUUGCUGUAGAGAAAAUUGCAAAUGCCUUUUGACUGCUGAUGGAAUAUUUCACCCUGUCAUGUGUAGUGUCUUCCUGGCAAUUGGCAUAUCAUAUUUUAGAGAAUAGCUGAUGUGUCCUGUUACAAUGCCUUAGCAAAUAAAGCUG